UGCUUUUAUGUCAUCAAAAAAGUCAAAUAUCUUUGACUGUAUUAUUGCAUGUCUCCUAUAGUCUUCUCACAUACAAUGUGGUCUGAUUAAAGCCCUCAAAAAG